UACGGGGGGGGCAAGCGUUGUUCGGAAUUACUGGGCGUAAAGGCUCGUAGGCGGCCAACUAAGUCGGAUGUGAGAUCCCCAGGCUUAACCUGGGAACUGCAUCCGAUACUGGAUGGCUUGAAUCCGGGAGAGGGAUGCAGAAUUCCAGGUGUAGCGGUGAAAUGCGUAGAUAUCUGGAGGAAUACCGGUGGCGAAGGCGGCAUCCUGGACCGGCAUUGACGCUGAUGCGCGAAAGCCAGGGGAGCAAACGGG
rnacentral:rRNA from 1 species